UCCGGUUUGUCACCGGCAGUCUCGCAUGAGUCCCCAACUAAAUGCUGGCAACAUGCGACGGGGGUUGCGCUCGUUGCGGGACUUAACCCAACAUCUCACGACACGAGCUGACGACAGCCAUGCACCACCUGUGAAGAUCCAGCCGAACUGACCCCGUGUUUCCACGGGUACGAUCCACAUGUCAAGCCCAGGUAAGGUGGGGAUGACGUGUCCUUGAUAGG
rnacentral:misc_RNA from 1 species